AUAAGUAACACCUGCUCAAUGAAUUUUAAAUAGCCGCAGAAUAUUUACUGUGCUAAGGUAGCAUAAUCAUUAGCCUCUUAAUUAGAGGCCUGUAUGAAAGGUGAAACAUUUCAUUUACUUUAUUAUCUAAUUUCUUUUAAAUUAAAUUAAGAAUAAAAAUGUUCUUAUAGAUAUAAAAGACGACAAGACCCUUUUGAACUUUACUUUAGUUUGGCUGGGGCAGCCAAGAAAUAAUAAUCUUUCUUAUCUUAUUUAUAUAAAUGACCCUGUAAAACUGAAUAUUUGAACAAGUUACCAUAGGGAUAACAGCGUAAUAACUUUUUAAAGAUCUUAUUUAAAAUGAUGUUUGCGACCUCG
rnacentral:rRNA from 1 species